rnacentral:lncRNA from 1 species
AUUUGACACAGUUUCUUUCUCUUAAAUAGAUCAAGGGGACUGCACAAUCCUUUUGAAUGCUGUGCAAGGGACAACGGAAGGUCAGAGUGCAAAGAACAGGGGUCCUCAUACCUCCCUGCAAGCAAAUUCUUCUCAGUUAUCCCAGCCUUACUGUAUCAUGGAACACAUAACCUUCUCCCUUUCAGGAUACAAGCAGCACGACCAAAGCAACAAUUAGCUCCUGUCAUUUUUGAAAUGAGAGUUCAGAAAUAUUUGCAAACUCUUCUUCUGAGCGUGGCUUUUUUUUUUUUCUUUUUGGUCUUUUUGUUUGUUGGACUUUCAUUUCUGAGGUUAGAUAUUUCUUAUACUUAUUUAUUGCCUUGAAAGAUAUAUUUGAUUAUGAGAAAUUGAGUGAAACCACCCGAGCAGCAGUUUCAUCACUCUUGGAAGUGCAUCAGGGUUGCUGUCUCAGAGGCUGACUUUAACCUAGCCAAGUAUCUACGGAUGAACGCAGAGCCAGAUUUAUUUGUGCAUGUAUUUAUUUAAGUGCUCUAAUGGUGUUGCUUUGUUUGGGGACAACCAAACCUUGGUUCGUAGAGAAUAGCAACUGCAGACUUAGUGGCUUGCUGCAUACCCUUUACACACACUGCUGACUUGUGGAAAGAGAGCAGAUCGAUUUCCCUCCGAGCUGGCUGGAAGGUGCGGGCAGGAACACGUUCCUACCAGCUCGCUGGCCCCAGCCCGCGUGAGCCCACUUGCACGGCGAGACGCGGAGCAGCGGCCAUUUUGCUGUACGGUCCGGUACUCUGCGGUGCGGCGCGGCUCCCCGGGCGCUCUCCAUGGUGCUGUCGCGGGCGGGAGGCACUCGCGGCCCGGCACGGCCCUGCUCCCUUCGGGGCUCGCAAGUCUUCUCCCUCGGACUGCACCUCUGCUCCACUUCCCUUCCUUCUGGCAAGGGCACGGAGUCCUGAUUCCACGCCUUUGAAGAAAGCUCGAGCGAGCCAUGUUGGUUAACCCACGUGUGAAGGACCCGCAGACUGCUUUGUAUCUGGCCAUCACCCUUUGACCUGUAAAAAGAGUAUGUUUUUAUCUGGAAAUUAAGCUAGCGUCAACACAAACGAUAGGAAAAAAAAUGGCGUUUAGAAGUACUGACAUGAUUAACUUAAGGUUUUGAUGGACUUAAUUCAUUUCUUCAUCUCAUUUUUUCUCUGUGGAAUGCUGGUGUACACAGUUUAGCUGGGGGCAUAGUAUUCCAGUUCAACUACUGAGAAGCAUGAUUGCUGGAAUACAGUGAUUAUCAUUUCCUAUUACUCUUUUGUACAUAUUUUUUACAUAUUUAUAAUUUAAAAUAUAACUGUCCUAUA